GAGUAACGCGUGGGUAACCUGCCUUGUACUGGGGGAUAGCAGCUGGAAACGGCUGGUAAUACCGCAUAAGCGCACAAUGUUGCAUGACAUGGUGUGAAAAACUCCGGUGGUAUAAGAUGGACCCGCGUCUGAUUAGCUAGUUGGUGAGAUAACAGCCCACCAAGGCGACGAUCAGUAGCCGACCUGAGAGGGCGACCGGCCACACUGGGACUGAGACACGGCCCAGACUCCUACGGGAGGCAGCAUG
rnacentral:rRNA from 1 species